CAAUAGCGUAUAUUAAAGUUGUUGCAGUUAAAAAGCUCGUAGUUGGAUUUCUGGUGGGCGCAUCCGGUCCGCUCCGCAAGGAGUGUGCACUGGCGAUGUCGCCGGCCACUUUUACGGCGAACGAUUCUGGCAUUAAGUUGUCGGGGUCGGGAGCCGUAUCAUUUACUGUGAAAAAUUAGAGUGUUUAAAGCAGGCAUUUGCUGUGAAUACAUUAGCAUGGAAUAAUAAGAUAGGACUUUGGUGCUAUUUUGUUGGUUUGCACGCCAAGGUAAUGAUUAACAGGGACAGUUGGGGGUAUUCGUAUUUUGAUGUCAGAGGUGAAAUUCUUGGAUUUUCGAAAGACGAACUUCUGCGAAAGCAUUUACCAAGGAUGUUUUCAUUAAUCAAGAACGAAAGUUAGGGGAUCGAAGACGAUCAGAUACCAU
rnacentral:rRNA from 1 species